GCGCCGGUGGUGUAAGGCGAACAUCGCUGCCCGGAAAGCAGAAGAUGAGGGUUCGAGUCCCGCCUGGCGCA
rfam:Heligmosomoides polygyrus genome assembly, scaffold: HPBE_scaffold0007648